rnacentral:RNase_P_RNA from 1 species
AGUCAGCUGGGCAGUCGCCGGUAAUUUGCCUUGUGUAAAUUGCGGGAGGAAAGUCCGGGCUCCAUAGGGCAGGGUGCCAGGUAACCCCUGGGGGGCGUGAGCCUACGGAAAGUGCAGCAGAGAGUAGACCGCCAACGCGCAGCUUAGGCUGUAGUUGGUAAGGGUGAAAGGGUGCGGUAAGAGCGCACCGCGCGAGUGGCAACACAUCGUGGCAAGGUAAACCCCACCUGGAGCAAGGCCAAAUAGAGAUCCGUCGACGCGGCCCGCGUUGGAUCUGGGUAGGCCGCUUGAGGCUGUUGGUGACGACAGCCCUAGAUGAAUGACUGUUCAAGACAAAACCCGGCUUAUAGGCUGGCUCU